UUCGCGGAGAGUUUGAUCCUGGCUCAGGACGAACGCUGGGGCGUGCUUAACACAUGCAAGUCGAACGAUGAACCACUUCGGUGG
rnacentral:ncRNA from 1 species